UCUGUUUGCUCAACAGAGCAUUUGCACUGAGACAAAAUGAAAAUCUGAAGUCAUUGUUUGUUCAAAAACAGGAACAAACACAAACUCACCUUCUUGAAUGGAUGGUUCUUCUUGAAUGGAUGGUUCUUCUUGAAUGGAUGCAGCAUUAGUCAGGGCCAUCGUGGCACAGACAAGUAGCAACCCGGUCAGCAGCUUCAUGGCUGAGUUGAUGCAGAUACUUAAAGUGAUGAAUGGAUUAGGAUGU